rnacentral:rRNA from 1 species
CCUACGUGUGGCUGCAGUGGGGAAUAUUGCACAAUGGGGGAAACCCUGAUGCAGCAACGCCGCGUGAGUGAUGACUGCCUUCGGGUUGUAAAGCUCUGUCUUCCGGGACGAUAAUGACGGUACCUGAGGAAGAAGCCCCGGCUAACUACGUGCCCGCAGCCGCGGUAAUACGUAAGUUGCGAGCGUUGUCCGGAUUUACUGGGCGGAAGGGGCGCGGAGGCGUACGUUUAAGUAGGAUGUGAAAUACUCGGGCUCAACUUGAGUGCUGCAUUUUACACUGGAAGUCAAGAGUGCAGGAGAGGAGAAUGGAACUCCUAGUGUAGCGGUGAAAUGCGUAGAGAUUAGGAAGAACACCAGUUGCGAAGGCGAUUCUCUGGACUGUAACUGACGCUGAGGCUCGAAAGCGUGUGGAGCAAACAGGAUUAGAUACCCUGGUAGUC